AGAGUUUGAUCAUGGCUCAGAACGAACGCUGGCGGCAUGGCUAAGACAUGCAAGUCGUACGAAUGCUUUGAAGGAGUAAUCUUGAUAAGCGUUAGUGGCGCAAGGGUGAGUAAUGCAUAGGUAACGUACCCCGGACACUGGGAUAGCUGCUCCCGAUUUAUCGGGAUUUAGCGAAAGUGCAGAUAAUACCAGAUGAUAUCCUUUAAUCGAAUGAUUUUAGGACCAAAGGCUUCGGUUGGUUUGGGAGCGACCUAUGUCGUAUCAGCUUGUUGGUGAGGUAACGGCUCACCAAGGCUACGACGCGUAGCGGGACUGAGAGGUUGACCCGCCACAUCGGGACUGAGACACUGCCCGGACCUCCACGGAGGGCUGCAGUAACGAAUCUUGCACAAUGGGCGCAAGCCUGAUGCAGCAAUGCCGCGUGUGGGAAGAAGUCCCUCGGGAUGUAAACCACUGUCAGGGUGAAGAAAGGUGCACUUCGGUGCAUUUGAUCGAUCCCAAAGGAAGGCCCGGCUAACUUCGUGCCAGCAGCCGCGGUAAGACGAAGGGGCCAAGCGUUGUUCGGAAUUAUUGGGCUUAAAGCGCGCGUAGGCGGGAAGUUAAGUGUCUUGUGAAAUCCCUCGGCUCAACCGAGGAACUGCUCGGCAAACUGACUUUCUUGAGGCAGGUAGAGGUGCAUGGAACUCUAGGUGGAGCGGUGAAAUGCGUAGAUAUCUAGAGGAACGCCAGUGGUGAAAACGGUGCACUGSGCCUGUCCUGACGCUGAGGCGCGAAAGCGUGGGGAGCGAACGGGAUUAGAUACCCCGGUAGUCCACGCUGUAAACGAUGUCUACUAGGUUGCGGUAGGUCUGACCCUCUCGCAGCCGAAGCAAAAGUGAUAAGUAGACCGCCUGGGGAGUACGGUCGCAAGGCUAAAACUCAAAGGAAUUGACGGGUCCUCACACAAGCGGUGGAGCAUGUGGCUUAAUUCGAAGCAACGCGAAGAACCUUAUCCUGGGUUUGACAUGCAUGUAUGCCCAUCCUGAAAGGGAGUAGGCUGCCUUCGGGUGAAACAUGCACAGGUGCUGCAUGGCUGUCGUCAGCUCGUGUCGUGAGAUGUUGGGUUAAGUCCCUUAACGAGCGAAACCCUUAUCGUUAGUUACCAGCGCGUAAUGGCGGGGACUCUAGCGAGACUGCCGGUGUUAAACCGGAGGAAGGUGGGGAUGACGUCAAGUCCUCAUGGCCUUUAUGCCCAGGGCUGCACACGUGCUGCAAUGGCGGGUACAAACCGACGCGAUACCGCGAGGUGGAGCAAAUCGGAAAAAACCCGUCCCAGUUCGGAUUGCAGGCUGCAACUCGCCUGCAUGAAGUCGGAAUCGCUAGUAAUCGCAGAUCAGCUAUGCUGCGGUGAAUAUGUUCCUGAGGAUUGUACACACCGCCCGUCAAGUCACGGAAGCUGGGAGUACCUGAAGUCGGGUAGCUAACUUUUCGAAGAGGCGCCUGCCGAUGGUAAGCUCGGUGACUGGGGCUAAGUCGUAACAAGGUAA
rnacentral:rRNA from 1 species